UAAAAUGGGUAAAAUCUUGGGGAGGGUCAAAAAUCACAUGUCUACACUAUCAUUCCCAAAAAGCAGACCAUAAAAACGAAGACUCUCCUGUGGAUAUGCCCUAAUGAAGUAAGGGUGAAUUCAUCUAAGAAGGUGCGGUAUGACUUACUAUGGUCGUACCUCUCAUAUAGAUAGUCGAAUAGGAUGUAAGAGUCUUUCAAACAGGUUAAAUCUCGAUUCUUCUUCAAUCCCAUCAUCUUAAGGAAACCCCUACCCUUAUGAUUCUCUAGCAUAAGAAAACCCGGAGUCUCCCAAGGAAUACCAGAUGAUCCUCCUAUUUCCUCGAGCAAAUAAGUCAUUUCAAGGUCUCCGAAGCGGAACACGGACCUGUCACUAUCCCAGAAUAGUGUUGCAGCCUCUAUGAUUUUGUUGUCAGGCUGGAU
rnacentral:lncRNA from 1 species